rnacentral:rRNA from 1 species
UACGGAGGGUGCAAGCGUUAUCCGGAUUCACUGGGUUUAAAGGGAGCGUAGGUGGGGUGGUAAGUCGGUUGUGAAAUCUCCGGGCUUAACCCGGAAAGGUCAAUCGAUACUGCGGGGCUAGAGUGCAGAAGGGGCAACUGGAAUUCUCGGUGUAGCGGUGAAAUGCGUAGAUAUCGAGAGGAACACCUGCGGCGAAGGCGGGUUGCUGGGCUGACACUGACGCUGAAGCGCGAAAGCUAGGGGAGCGAACGGG